rnacentral:rRNA from 1 species
UGGGGAAUCUUGGACAAUGGGCGCAAGCCUGAUCCAGCCAUGCCGCGUGCAGGAUGAAGGCGUUAUGCGUUGUAAACUGCUUUUUAUAUAGGAAGAAAUAGUCCUUGCGAGGAAAGUUGACGGUACUAUAUGAAUAAGCACCGGCUAACUCCGUGCCAGCAGCCGCGGUAAUACGGAGGGUGUAAGCGUUGUCCGGAUUUAUUGGGUUUAAAGGGUGCGUAGGCGGUUUAUUAAGUCAGUGGUGAAAGACGGUCGCUCAACGAUUGCAGUGCCAUUGAUACUGGUAGACUUGAGUAUGAUUGAGGUAGCUGGAAUGGAUAGUGUAGCGGUGAAAUGCAUAGAUAUUGUCCAGAACACCAAUUGCGUAGGCAAGUUACUAAGUCAUAACUGACGCUGAGGCACGAAAGUGUGGGUAUCAAACAGGAUUAGAUACCCCAGUAGUCCCUGAGCGGGCUGGCAAGGCGCAU